AGUUUAACACCCGAGACUGACUUCCCAGUCCCUUUUGCGUUGAAAGCAAUUGUCAACACUAACCGCUUUAAACCCUGACUUUGAAACCCUAGCUCAGGAUUUGAAGUUCUAAUUUCUUACCCUAACGACUUCACACACAAAUUUGAAAACCCUCAAUUGAAUCCCUAACCCUAAUUGUAAACCCUAAACUUUACUUCAGAUCCAAACCAUAAACCCUAACCCAGGAUGGAAACUCUAACCCUAACUUGAAACUGUAACCUGAAACCUUAACCGUGACUUGAAAUCCUAAUUUGAAACUCUAACCACUAAUUAAAAGACAAAGGGGAAAAACCUAAACAUGAACGCCUAACCUUGACUUGAAACCCUAACUCAAAACACUAACCCUGGCUUGAAAGGCUAAUUUGAAAGCCUAAACAUGACUCAAAAACAAAUUCAAAAACCCUUAUUUGAAAAACUAACGCUGGAUUGUAACAUGAUCUCAAACUACAACUCGAAACACUAACCCUUGAGACUUGAAACCCUGUCCACAAAACACUAAUUCAAAAACCAUAAAUUGAAACCCUGGAAAGAAACCCUAAUCAUGAUUUGAAAGCCUUAUGCGGAACCCUAAACCAUACUGAGCACCGUAAUUUCAAACCCUAACCAUGAUAUGAAAUCUUCAUUCAGAACACCACUUUGAAACACUCCCUGGUUUGAGGUUGAAUACGGUGCCAUCCCCAUCCCAAAGUAACAAUUGGAGAGUCAUCAAAUGAUGUUUGUGGUCUGCGGUUGGUACAAAUACACAGGGGGAAGGUUGUGGCUUCUAAUCCAGUUGUUACUCACAAGAAAAACAAAACCAACCGCCUGAGCAAAACUCGUGACGAAGGCAUGCUUUCAUGUUGUUUACUUUCUGACACUAAUCACGUGUCAGCAGAAAUGGAGUCCCACCAGGCCUGGCAACGUUUUUUCCUCAAAUCUUCUGCUGUCGGAUGAUUGCAAGUUGUUAAACAUCAGCCGAGUUAUCAGGUGUGUGAUCGUCAAUGUUCCACAUCCUUGAGAGAUGCACAGCAUAUAUUCCACUUCCAAGUCAGUCUGGACAUUUCUUCUUUGACCCCACCCCUUCCCCUGCGAUCGUUAAGGCAUUAUCUCCAGGAGAACCGCCACUAACGAGAUAUUUUCUGUUUGGAUUGUUCUCCCCCCCGCAGACAAUUCAACUCUGUGAAGCCUCUCGUCUGUGUGGGGAAAACCCCACUAAUGUCUCGGAUUGUCCUGACGACAACCAGUCACUUCAAUAGCAUUGUGACACUCGAUUUAAAUUGGAGCAUAUUGUCAUGGCCAUGUCUGCAAGCCUUUAGAGCAGGGAGUGACUGAUUAGAUGCCGCAUUUACUCAGAUAAUGGCAGUGCACACCAUUAUCCCCCAAAAAUACUGACAGUUCUCAUUUCAGUCGUGAGGCACUCUUGUACAAACAGUAAAAAAAUCUUCUGCAUGCUUUGUAUAGGGUAAAACGUGGUAGCAGCUGGUAGAAAAACUUGAAAAGCUGUUCAAGGGUUCGCUGAACCUGAAUGUAAAUAUGCAAGCCUGGAGGAAAAAAUCUGGGAAAGAGUUUGGGAUAGUUUCACAAAAAGUGUAAUGUGGAUCAAAACAAUAUGUCGUCAAUGGUCAACACAGUGUAAUGUAUCAACGUUAGACAAUUCAAUAUAACCUACUAAUUGCGAAGAAAACAAAUCCAUGAUAUUCUUAUUUAUACAUGAGCCACGGCCACAACUAAAACCAGGUCAACAGACAGACUGGCUAACGGUAGUGAUGGCAAAAAAAAGCUUCAAAUUUGCUUCAUGGCUUUGUUGUAUUUUUUGACUCCUCGAUAUGGCACUGUUGGUUUAAAUAAAGGGGUCUAAGAAUAGGCAUGUCGGUGUGCUGUUAGCCCAGUGGUGACCAGAGAGUGCCAUCGAGAGGAGU